rnacentral:rRNA from 1 species
UGAGGAAUAUUGGUCAAUGGGCGAGAGCCUGAACCAGCCAAGUAGCGUGCAGGAUGACGGCCCUAUGGGUUGUAACCUGCUUUUAUGUGGGGAUAAAGUGCGUGACGUGUCAUGCAUUGCAGGUACCACAUGAAUAAGGACCGGCUAAUUCCGUGCCAGCAGCCGCGGUAAUACGGAAGGUCCGGGCGUUAUCCGGAUUUAUUGGGUUUAAAGGGAGCGUAGGCUGUCUAUUAAGCGUGUUGUGAAAUAUACCGGCUCAACCGGUGGCUUGCAGCGCGAACUGGUCGACUUGAGUAUGCAGGAAGUAGGCGGAAUUCAUGGUGUAGCGGUGAAAUGCUUAGAUAUCAUGACGAACUCCGAUUGCGCAGGCAGCUUACUGUAGCAUAACUGACGCUGAUGCUCGAAAGUGCGGGUAUCAAACAGG